ACUCCUACGGGAGGCAGCAGUGGGGAAUUUUGGACAAUGGGCGAAAGCCUGAUCCAGCCAUUCCGCGUGAGUGAAGAAGGCCUUCGGGUUGUAAAGCUCUUUCGCAAGGGAAGAAAACUUACUUUCUAAUAAAGAGUGAGGAUGACGGUACCUUGAUAAGAAGCACCGGCUAACUACGUGCCAGCAGCCGCGGUAAUACGUAGGGUGCGAGCGUUAAUCGGAAUUACUGGGCGUAAAGCGUGCGCAGGCGGUUUUGAAAGUCAGAUGUGAAAUCCCCGAGCUCAACUUGGGAACUGCGUUUGAAACUCCAAAGCUAGAGUAUAGGAGAGGGGGGUAGAAUUCCACGUGUAGCAGUGAAAUGCGUAGAGAUGUGGAGGAAUACCAAUGGCGAAGGCAGCCCCCUGGCCUAAUACUGACGCUCAUGCACGAAAGCGUGGGGAGCAAACAGGAUUAGAUACCCUGGUAGUCCACGCCCUAAACGAUGUCUACUAGUUGUUGGUGGAGUAAAAUCCAUUAGUAACGCAGCUAACGCGUGAAGUAGACCGCCUGGGGAGUACGGUCGCAAGAUUAAAACUCAAAGGAAUUGACGG
rnacentral:rRNA from 1 species